GAUGAACGCUAGCUACAGGCUUAACACAUGCAAGUCGCGGGGCAGCAUGGGGGUUGCUUGCAACCCCUGAUGGCGACCGGCGCACGGGUGAGUAACGCGUAUCCAACCUGCCCUUCACCACGGGAUAACCCGGCGAAAGUCGGACUAAUACCGUAUGUUGUCCAUUGACGGCAUCCGAUUUGGACGAGAGGCGUGGCGGUGAAAGGAUGGGGAUGCGUCCGAUUAGCUUGACGGCGGGGUAACGGCCCACCGUGGCUACGAUCGGUAGGGGUUCUGAGAGGAAGGUCCCCCACACUGGAACUGAGACACGGUCCAGACUCCUACGGGAGGCAGCAGUGAGGAAUAUUGGUCAAUGGGCGUAAGCCUGAACCAGCCAAGUAGCGUGCAGGAUGACGGCCCUAUGGGUUGUAAACUGCUUUUAUGCGGGGAUAAAGUGGCCCACGUGUGGGCUUUUGCAGGUACCGCAUGAAUAAGGACCGGCUAAUUCCGUG
rnacentral:rRNA from 1 species